GACAGAGGUCCCAAGCGUUAGGCGGAAUCACUGGGCUUAAAGCGUGUGUAGGCGGAUUUGUAAGUACCUUGUGAAAUCCCACGGCUCAACCGUGGAACUGCUUGGUAUACUGCUUAUCUUGGGCCAUCUAGGGGCGAGCGGAACAAACGGUGGAGCGGUGAAAUGCGUAGAUAUCGCUUGGAACGCCAAAGGUGAAGACAGGUUGCUGGAGAUAUGCCGACACUGAGACGCGAAAGCCAGGGGAGCAAACGGG
rnacentral:rRNA from 1 species